rnacentral:pre_miRNA from 1 species
UCUUAUGUGUUUGGAAAGAAAGUGGUUUCUUGAAAUAGAAUCUACUCCCAGUGAAGAUGCUGUGAA